rnacentral:tRNA from 1 species
UGGGUUAGCUCAGUGGUUAGAGCUUAGGACCUGUGAUUGGAAAAUCACGGGUUCGAAUCCCGCGAAAGGCAG